rnacentral:rRNA from 1 species
UAAGGAAUAUUGGACAAUGGCCGCAAGGCUGAUCCAGCCAUGCCGCGUGCAGGAUGACGGCGCUCUGCGUUGUAAACUGCUUUUACUCGGGAAAAAACCCCUGCAUUCUUGCGGGGCUGAUUGUACCGAGAGAAUAAGGGACGGCUAACUUCGUGCCAGCAGCCGCGGUAAUACGAAGGUCCCAAGCGUUAUCCGGAUUUAUUGGGUUUAAAGGGUGCGUAGGCGGCUUAUUAAGUCAGUGGUGAAAGCUCCAUGCUUAACAUGGAAAAUGCCAUUGAUACUGAUGAGCUUGAGUAGAUUUGAAGUGGGCGGAAUGUGUCGUGUAGCGGUGAAAUGCUUAGAUAUGACACAGAACACCGAUUGCGUAGGCAGCUCACUAAACUCUCACUGACGCUGAGGCACGAAAGCAUGGGGAUCAAACAGG